GAAAAACCUGAGUAUUCAGAUGCUGAUUUCACCUAUGAUUAUGAGUUAAUCAGAAGAGGUGGGCUGAUCUUUGCAGCUGUUUUGUUCUGUUUGGGCAUGGCUAUCAUAUUCGGCAAAAAGCUCAACUGUGGAAACAAGGCGUCUUCUAAGCUUGAAGACAAUGGUGAUCUUUGACCUCUCCUUCAUUAACCUUCACUGUAAACGGACACCUCAGUAAAUUCACCAAGGAUGACCAUUUUUUCAACGUACAGUGAAGAUUUUUUUUCAGAUAGUUAAUUCAUAAGAUCUAUGUAUACUGUCACAAUAAAAUAAAACU